ACUCCUACGGGAGGCAGCAGUGGGGAAUAUUGCACAAUGGGGAAACCCGUAGCAUGCAGCCAUGCCGCGUGUGUGAAGAAGGCCUUCGGGUUGUAAAGCACUUUCAGUAGGGAGGAAGGUAGUGUAGUUAACACCUGCACUAUUUGACGUUACCUACAGAGAAGCACCGCUAACGUCCGUAGCCAGCCAGCCGCGGGUAAUACGGAGGGUGCGAGCGUUAAUCGGAAUUACUGGGCGUAAAGCGCAUGCAGGCGGCCUGUUAAGUCAGAUGUGAAAG
rnacentral:rRNA from 1 species